rnacentral:other from 1 species
GUUACAAUUAACCUAAAUCCCUAUCAGGGAUUAAAAC